CCUACGGGUGGCAGCAGUGGGGAAUAUUGGACAAUGGGCGAAAGCCUGAUCCAGCCAUGCCGCGUGUGUGAAGAAGGCCUUCGGGUUGUAAAGCACUUUCAGUGGGGAAGAAAGCCUUGGGGCUAAUACCCUCGAGGAAGGACAUCACCCACAGAAGAAGCACCGGCUAACUCCGUGCCAGCAGCCGCGGUAAUACGGAGGGUGCGAGCGUGAAUCGGAAUUACUGGGCGUAAAGCGCGCGUAGGCGGUCUGAUAAGCCGGUUGUGAAAGCCCCGGGCUCAACCUGGGAACGGCAUCCGGAACUGUCAGGCUAGAGUGCAGGAGAGGAAGGUAGAAUUCCCGGUGUAGCGGUGAAAUGCGUAGAGAUCGGGAGGAAUACCAGUGGCGAAGGCGGCCUUCUGGACUGACACUGACGCUGAGGUGCGAAAGCGUGGGUAGCAAACAGGAUUAGAUACCCCAGUAGUC
rnacentral:rRNA from 1 species